rnacentral:tRNA from 3 species
UGGGCUAUAGCCAAGCGGUAAGGCAGCGGUUUUUGGUACCGUUACGCGCUGGUUCGAAUCCAGCUAGCCCAG